rnacentral:piRNA from 1 species
UGAGGAAUUUCUAAGAAAACUGGUAUGUGGU